rnacentral:rRNA from 1 species
UCAAGUUAUUAAGGGUGCAGGGCGGAUGCCUUGGCACUAGGAGCCGAUGAAGGACGUGAUAAGCUGCGAUAAGCUUCGGGGAGUUGCACGUAAACUUUGAUCCGAAGAUUUCCGAAUGAGGAAACUCACUUAGAGUAAUGUCUAAGUAUCAUUAAGUGAAUACAUAGCUUAAUGAGGGGAACUCAGGGAACUGAAACAUCUAAGUACCUGAAGGAAGAGAAAGAAAUUCGAUUCCGUAAGUAGCGGCGAGCGAACGCGGAUUAGCCCAAACCAAUAAAGUUUUCUUUAUUGGGGUUGCGGACAUAUCAUAACGAAGAGGUAUCGUAAUUGAAGAGGUUUGGAAAGACCCACCACAGAAGGUAAUAGUCCUGUAUGUUAAACGAGAAGACUUUAGAUAUGAUCCAGAGUACCACGGGACACGUGAAACCCUGUGGGAAGCAGGAGGGACCACCCUCCAAGGCUAAAUACUACCUAGUGACCGAUAGCGUAUAGUACCGUGAGGGAAAGGUGAAAAGAACCCCGGGAGGGGAGUGAAAUAGAACCUGAAACCCUGCACUUACAAGCUGUGGAAGCACAUUUCUUGUGUGACCGCGUACUUUUUGUAGAACGGGCCAACGAGUUACGUUAAGUAGCAAGGUUAAGCACUUAAGGUGCGGAGCCGUAGCGAAAGCGAGUUUUAACUGAGCGUUCAGUUACUUGACGUAGACCCGAAACCGGGCGACCUACCCAUGAGCAGGAUGAAGCGAAAGUAAAAUUUCGUGGAGGUCCGAACCCACGAGCGUUGAAAAGCUCGGGGAUGACUUGUGGGUAGCGGUGAAAUUCCAAUCGAGCCCGGAGAUAGCUGGUUCUCCCCGAAAUAGCUUUAGGGCUAGCCUCAAGGUGAGAGAUACGGAGGUAGAGCACUGAAUGUCCUAGGGGGUAUUGCACCUACCGAAGACUAUCAAACUCCGAAUGCCGUCAUCUUAUACUUGGGAGUCAGACUGUGGGUGAUAAGAUUCAUAGUCGAAAGGGCAACAGCCCAGAUCGUCAGCUAAGGUCCCUAAAUGUAAGUUAAGUGGUAAAGGAUGUGGGAUUGCACAGACAACCAGGAUGUUGGCUUAGAAGCAGCCACUCAUUCAAAGAGUGCGUAAUAGCUCACUGGUCGAGUGAUCCUGCGCCGAAGAUUUCCGGGGCUAAAACUUACUACCGAAGCUACGGCAUCAGUAAUGAUGGGUAGGGGAGCUUCCCAUACGGGUUGAAGCAUGACCGUAAGGACAUGUGGACAGUAUGGGAGUGAGAAUGUUGGCAUGAGUAGCGAGAUGUGGGUGGGAAUCCCACAGGCCGUAAACCCAAGGUUUCCAGGGGAAGGUUCGUCCGCCCUGGGUUAGUCGGGACCUAAGCUGAGGCCGAAAGGCGUAGGUGAUGGACAACAGGUUGAUAUUCCUGUACUACCGAUAACCGUUUGAGAGAAGGGAUGACACAGUAGGAUAAGCUAAGCACACUGUUGGUUAUGUGUGCCCAAGCAUUGAGGCAGUCAAAGUAGGCAAAUCCGCUUUGAUAAUGCUGGGAUGUGAUGGGGAGCGAAAUUUAGUAGCGAAGUAGCUGAUUUCACACUGUCAAGAAAAGUCUCUAUCGAGGUUAAAGGUACCCGUACCGCAAACCGACACAGGUGGGUGAGGAGAGUAUCCUAAGGCCAGCGAGAGAACUGUUGUUAAGGAACUCGGCAAAAUGACCCCGUAACUUAGGGAUAAGGGGUGCCACCAUCAGGUGGCCGCAGAGAAUAGGCCCAAGCGACUGUUUACCAAAAACAUAGGUUUCUGCUAAGUCGCAAGACGAUGUAUAGGAGCUGACGCCUGCCCGGUGCUGGAAGGUUAAGGGGAUCUGUUAGAGCAAUCGAAGCAGUGAACUUAAGCCCCAGUAAACGGCGGCCGUAACUAUAACGGUCCUAAGGUAGCGAAAUUCCUUGUCGGGUAAGUUCCGACCCGCACGAAAGGCGUAACGAUUUGGGCACUGUCUCAACAACAGACUCGGUGAAAUUGUAAUUCCGGUGAAGAUGCCGGAUACCUGCGACAGGACGGAAAGACCCCAUGGAGCUUUACUGUAGCUUGACAUUGGGUCUUGGUACUACAUGUACAGGAUAGGUGGGAGGCUUUGAAACCAGGACGCCAGUUUUGGCGGAGCCAUCCUUGGGAUACCACCCUUGUAGUACUGGGACUCUAACCAUAGGCCAUGAAUCUGGUCUUGGGACACUGUCAGGUGGGCAGUUUGACUGGGGCGGUCGCCUCCCAAAAGGUAACGGAGGCGCUCAAAGGUUCUCUCAGUACGGUCGGAAAUCGUACGUAGAGUGUAAAGGCAAAAGAGAGCUUGAUUGCAAGACAUACAGGUCGAGCAAGGAUGAAAAUCGGACUUAGUGAUCCGGUGGUUCUGCGUGGAAGGGCCAUCGCUCAACGGAUAAAAGCUACCCUGGGGAUAACAGGCUUAUCUCCCCCAAGAGUCCACAUCGACGGGGAGGUUUGGCACCUCGAUGUCGGCUCAUCACAUCCUGGGGCUGUAGUAGGUCCCAAGGGUUGGGCUGUUCGCCCAUUAAAGUGGUACGCGAGCUGGGUUCAGAACGUCGUGAGACAGUUCGGUCCCUAUCCGUCGCAGGCGUAGGAAAUUUGAGAAGACCUGUCCUUAGUACGAGAGGACCGGGAUGGACGUACCUCUGGUGUACCAGUUGUCCUGCCAAGGGCAUGGCUGGGUAGCUAUGUACGGAAUGGAUAAGCGCUGAAAGCAUCUAAGCGCGAAGCCAACUUCAAGAUAAGAUUUCCCACCGCAAGGGUAAGACCCCAGAAAGACUAUCUGGUUGAUAGGUCGAAGGUGUAAGUGCAGCAAUGUAUUUAGCUUAUCGAUACUAAUAGGUCGAGGACUUGACCAA